rnacentral:rRNA from 1 species
GACGAACGCUGGCGGCGUGCUUAACACAUGCAAGUCGAACGAAGUGGCGAACGGGUGAGUAACGCGUAAUCAACCUGCCCUUCAGAGGGGGACAACAGCUGGAAACGACUGCUAAUACCGCAUACUGAAGGAGGGGAUUGCGACUGCUUAGCUAAUUGGAUGGGUAACGGCCCAACAAGGCGAUGAUCAGUAGCCGGGCUGAGAGGAUGAACGGCCACAUUGGGACCUAGACACGGCCCAGACUCCUACGGUAGGGAGCAGUGGGGAAUCUUCCGAAAUGGAAGAAAGUCUGACGGAGCAACGCCGCGUGAGUGAUGACGGCCUUCGGGUUGUAAAGCUCUGUUAAGCGGGACGCGGUACCGGAAUAGAAAGCCACGGCUAACUACGUGCCAGCAGCCGCGGUAAUAC